ACGGCAGCACGGGAGCAAUCCUGGUGGCGAGUGGCGAACGGGUGAGUAAUAUAUCGGAACGUGCCCAGUCGUGGGGGAUAACGCAGCGAAAGCUGUGCUAAUACCGCAUACGAUCUCUGGAUGAAAGCGGGGGAUUCGCAAGGACCUCGCGCGAUUGGAGUGGCCGAUAUCGGAUUAGCUAGUUGGUGGGGUAAAAGCCUACCAAGGCGACGAUCUGUAGCUGGUCUGAGAGGACGACCAGCCACACUGGAACUGAGACACGGUCCAGACUCCUACGGGAGGUAGCAGUGGGGAAUUUUGGACAAUGGGCGCAAGCCUGAUCCAGCAAUGCCGCGUGCAGGAUGAAGGCCUUCGGGUUGUAAACUGCUUUUGUACGGAACGAAACGGUUUUUUCUAAUACAAGAGACUAAUGACGGUACCGUAAGAAUAAGCACCGGCUAACUACGUGCCAGCAGCCGCGGUAAUACGUAGGGUGCGAGCGUUAAUCGGAAUUACUGGGCGUAAAGCGUGCGCAGGCGGUUUUGUAAGACAGAUGUGAAAUCCCCGGGCUCAACCUGGGACCUGCAUAUGUGACUGCAAAGCUAGAGUGCGGCAGAGGGGAUGGAAUUCCGCGUGUAGCAGUGAAAUGCGUAGAUAUGCGGAGGAACACCGAUGGCGAAAGGCAAUCCCCUGGGCCUGCACUGACGCUCAUGCACGAAAGCGUGGGGAGCAAACAGGAUUAGAUACCCUGGUAGUCCACGCCCUAAACGAUGUCAACUGCUUGUUGGGUCUUUACUGACUCAGUAACGAAGCUAACGCGUGAAGUUGACCGCCCUGGGGAGUACGGCCGCAAGGUGAAACUCAAAAGGAAUUGGACGGGGACCCGCACA
rnacentral:rRNA from 1 species